GACGUAGGGCGCGAGCGUUUGUCCGGAUUUAUUGGGCGUAAAGAGCUCGUAGGCGGCUUGUCGCGUCGACUGUGAAAGCCCGGGGCUUAACCCCGGGUCUGCAUUCGAUACGGGCAGACUGGAGUUCGGCAGGGGAGACUGGAAUUCCUGGUGUAGCGGUGAAAUGCGCAGAUAUCAGGAGGAACACCGGUGGCGAAGGCGGGUCUCUGGGCCGAUAUUGACGCUGAGGAGCGAAAGCGUGGGGAGCGAACAGG
rnacentral:rRNA from 1 species